rnacentral:rRNA from 1 species
UGGGGAAUAUUGCACAAUGGGCGCAAGCCUGAUGCAGCAACGCCGCGUGAGGGACGACGGCCUUCGGGUUGUAAACCUCUUUUGGCAGGGAAGAAGCGAAAGUGACGGUACCUGCAGAAAAAGCACCGGCUAACUACGUGCCAGCAGCCGCGGUGAUACGUAGGGUGCAAGCGUUGUCCGGAAUUAUUGGGCGUAAAGAGCUCGUAGGCGGUUUGUCGCGUCUGCUGUGAAAACCCGAGGCUCAACCUCGGGCCUGCAGUGGGUACGGGCAAACUAGAGGGCGGUAGGGGAGAUUGGAAUUCCGGGUGUAGCGGUGGAAUGCGCAGAUAUCAGGAGGAACACCGAUGGCGAAGGCAGAUCUCUGGGCCGUAACUGACGCUGAGGAGCGAAAGCAUGGGGAGCGAACA